rnacentral:rRNA from 1 species
CAGUCGCCGCGGUAACACGUAGGUCCCGAGCGUUGUCCGGAUUUAUUGGGCGUAAAGCGAGCGCAGGCGGUUAGAUAAGUCUGAAGUUAAAGGCUGUGGCUUAACCAUAGUACGCUUUGGAAACUGUUUAACUUGAGUGCAGAAGGGGAGGGUGGAAUUCCAUGUGUAGCGGUGAAAUGCGUAGAUAUAUGGAGGAACACCGGUGGCGAAAGCGGCUCUCUGGUCUGUAACUGACGCUGAGGCUCGAAAGCGUGGGGAGCAAACAGGAUUAGAUACCCCCGUAGUCCCUGUCUCUUAUACA